AUUGAACGCUGGCGGCAUGCUUUACACAUGCAAGUCGAACAGUAACAGGCCUUCGGGUGCUGACGAGUGGCGAACGGGUGAGUAAUGCAUCGGAACGUACCCAGAGGUGGGGGAUAACGCAGCGAAAGCUGUGCUAAUACCGCAUGUGAUCUGAGGAUGAAAGCGGGGGACCGAGCAGCAAUGUUUGGCCUCGCGCCUUUGGAGCGGCCGAUGUCGGAUUAGCUAGUUGGUGGGGUAAAGGCCUACCAAGGCGACGAUCCGUAGCUGGUCUGAGAGGACGACCAGCCACACUGGGACUGAGACACGGCCCAGACUCCUACGGGAGGCAGCAGUGGGGAAUUUUGGACAAUGGGCGCAAGCCUGAUCCAGCAAUGCCGCGUGCGGGAAGAAGGCCUUCGGGUUGUAAACCGCUUUUGGCAGGAACGAAACGGUGUCCGCUAAUACCGGGCGCUAAUGACGGUACCUGCAGAAUAAGCACCGGCUAACUACGUG
rnacentral:rRNA from 1 species